UACGUAGGCGGCGAGCGUUGUCCGGAUUUACUGGGCGUAAAGGGAGCGUAGGCGGACUUUUAAGUGAGAUGUGAAAUACUCGGGCUCAACUUGAGUGCUGCAUUUCAAACUGGAAGUCUAGAGUGCAGGAGAGGAGAAUGGAAUUCCUAGUGUAGCGGUGAAAUGCGUAGAGAUUAGGAAGAACACCAGUGGCGAAGGCGAUUCUCUGGACUGUGACUGACGCUGAGGCUCGAAAGCGUGGGGAGCAAACAGG
rnacentral:rRNA from 1 species